rnacentral:lncRNA from 1 species
GCCACGUGGAGGAGGAGAGCGGUGCGCUGCCUGAGCAGCGGCGCCGUCGCGCAGGUUUAGAAGUGCUGGUGUCUGGUCUUUGUGGCGAGCAUAGCGUAGCAUAGCGUAGCAUAGCGUAGCAUAGCGUAGCAUAGCGUAGCAUAGCGUAGCAUAGCGUAGCGAUUUACUGCUAUUUGGUUUGUUGCGGGCUGAGCUUGUACUUGACAGCGGGGUGCGGCUCGACACAUGGCGGGUGGUGCCUGUACGAACCGACCCCGGCUUUGUCCGGGGGAUGAGGUAGUUUCGAAACCUUCGGCCUCGGACAUUGCACCAACGUGGCGUGGCCGCACAGCUCAAUUUUCCCCUGGAGACUUGUUUUGUCCGCAGCCGUGGUUGUUGGCUUCCAGGAGUGGCAUGACUCCUUGACGGGUCUAAUAAGUGGAGUAGCUGCUAAGACAGCUUGUGACGGCGUUCUGCCUUUGAGAGAAGUCAGUGUUGUGCUCGAGGGGGAGAUCACUCGCAUUGCCUAGCUGAGCCGUGCUGGGCAGGCGGGCGAGGGGGAGGGGGAGGGGGAGGGGCGGUGGUGGACUGGAGGUAGGAUUGGAGGUACGCGAGGAGGUAGGGCAGGCGGUAGCGGCGGUAGGGGAGGCAGGAGCGCUGGGUGGUGGAGCGCUGGCACUGGCGCAGGCGGGGGCUGUUGAGGGUCAGACCCAGGGGUGCAGGCGGCGGCAUUUUGAUUUGCGUGUCGGCACGGCGUGUUCACUUAAAUGCAGUCAGGUGGAGGCAAGGCUUGACGUGGAUUGAGUGAUUCGGUUAUGCGGACAGUCACGCGGAAACGCGGGUGUAGUGCCAGCCGGGGGACACGAGGCGCCGAGCCGGGGGUGCGGGGCGCCAGUCCAGAGCGUGGGGGCCAUCGUUGAUCGCGGAUGAGACACCGGGUAUGCCCGCACGCCAAACAUUCCGGUGGAGCGCGGACAUGACAUUGCUUAAUUACCCGCAUUGCUGCGUCGCAAACGCUCUUUCAGUCAGUGCCAACGAUACUGCCCCGCGCGGUUGCGCGUUCUUACCUUCUUUCCUGCGCGAACGAAACGGCAGCCCUUAGGAUUCCUGUUAAAUGUGAUUCACAUCACCACUCUCACAUUUAACCAUAGGGACACCCUACAGCUCGUCGCUGGCUGGCCUAUGUUGCUGACGCGGCUGAGUGGACCCGCGGCAGCAGGUAUGCUUCUGCGUGGUUGCAUUAAUAUAGUAUGGGACUGCGCUAGAGUGCAAGCGCGGCGCUCACGAAGCUGACCAGCCGAGGCCCGUCGCAUGCAGGCACGCCGGGCAUGCGCCCAACUCCGCAUGGGCGGCAUGGCGCCUGCCUUGGUUCACACUGGCGUGGAUGUGGAACGGCGAGCCACGGGCGCGCCUGGCGCGUCGUGGCCGCGUGCCACCUGCCCGAGGGGAGCGCGGGAGCCACCCCGGGAGUCGGGUGAGUCGGCGCCUUUUGCAGCGCCCACUGCUGUGACAUACUUUGCGAAUGCACGCUCGCAGCUAACAGCACCGAAUGCACCCUGCACGCAGGUCGCCGCCUGCAGCUGCAGCAGGGCAGGUGGGAAGACCCAGGGGACAAACUUUGCAACGCUUCUCAAGAAGGGCGUGUAGUGCGCGCAGGGGUCAAAUUUGCGAUUCGACUGCCCGAGUAUCGCCGGACAGCUUCGUCUCUCCUGUCCCCAUGACCCACUCGCAGGUCGCUUGCUGCUUUUCACUCGUUGCUCACGUUGAACUUUGCAUGCAGGAUUCAAUGCAGCGGUUCGCGGCGAUGCUCGAUCGGAAGCUGAACCCUGUUAUGACAAGCCUUCGCCGGAUUGAAGACACAACCGCAAUACUAGUGGAGGCCGUCGUGGGCAGGGCGCUGCGUGAUCGCGAGCAGCAGAAGCAGGAGGCGGCCUCCAACAACGGCGCCCGCGGAAGCGUGAUCCUGAAGGAUGCGGCCAGUGUGGUGAAGUGCGUGCUGCCUCCCGGGCUGCCGCCACACGUGCACGAGGUGGCGGCGGGCAAGCUGGCGGCCUGGCUGGUAGAGGAGGUAGGCCGUGACCUCGAGUUGGUGGGCGGGGCGCAGGGCAUCAGUAUGCUGCCUCACCUGUCAGCAGAGCGAGGGUAUUGGCGUGCAUGUGAUGCAUGCCCCAGGGGCAUGUAUGGAUGCCCGAUGGCUGCCUAGACAGCAGGCACAGUCCGUGCUGGCCGUCUCUGCCCUACCGCGCCAUGUAACAGCGCCGCACCCGCCAUGCAGGACCGGGGCCUACGCGCUAUCCUGGAGUCGGAGCUGCGUGCGGUCCCCUCCAGGCUCACCAAAAAAGCAGACGCGGAGUGGAAGGCGGCAGCGGCUAGUGCCGCCCAGGUGUGCGACUGGGGCGGGACGGGAUGAGUAGUGGGUUGCUUGCGGGCUGGGCUUGUGCUCCGUGCUGCACGCUGCUGUGUGCUGUGAUUCGAGCAUGUGUGCAUGGAUUCAUCAAAAGCAGUUGGCAAAAGGCCAAACGCCUGGGGCGUUGCUCCAGCGGCACAUGGCACUGCCUCUGUAGGAUUCAGCCGCGAGCCAGCCCACGCACGACAUCCUUUGCCGUUGCUGGUCGUGUGUGGUCGUGCAGUGGCAAGUCAACCCCUGAAGCCCCUCCUGCCAUGCUCCGUCUGAUGGUGUCGUGCGCAGGCGGCAUUGGCAGCGCUGCAAGGUGCUGCGUGUGGGCAGCAGAACUACUCGCCGGCGCUGGACGCCCUCAAGUGCUGCGCGGACCGCCUGCCUGUCUCCCUGCAGCUGCUGGACACCUAUGCCACCAGUGACCGGGACACGGCCCUGGCGCUGAUGCGCGGCGAGCUGUGCGUGGCCGCCCUGACGGCGCUGCACCCGCUCAGCAGCGGCGAGGCCUCCUCGACCGCCACACAGCUGCAGGUGGACCGCCUGCUGCCGCUGCGCGUGUGUGCAGAGGCCGGCGGCGGUAAAGGCGGCAGCAACAGUCGCAGCGGCAGCGGAGGCGGCGACGGCGACGGCGACGGCGACGGCAGCGGCGACGGCGACGGCAGCGGCGACGGCAACGGCAGCAGCAGUGGGGGCGGGGACGGCGACGGCGACGGCGGCAGCACAUCUGGGCCCCGUGUUGGACCCGGGGUCACGGCCGUGCUGGAGAUCCAGGAGAUCAAGUCCAGCAGCGCAGGUGCGUGGGUGUUGCGAGUGGGCUUGAAGACAUGGACCGGGCAUGCAUAGGCGGGGCGACCGUAUACAUGGAAAGCGCACGCCCGCCCAACAGCUGGAGCGUUCCCUUGGCCCAAAUCAUGGCGCCGCGUGCACGUGUAGGCUUUUUGUGAUUGUGUUCGCGGUAUGUGCGCGUUGUCUGGGCAUCGGUCAACUUAAUCAACUCCAGAAUCGUUCGUCCACUUUCAUGGAAUCUCAGGCGGUUGAGGCUCUUUAACAUGCUCCCUGGCCCGGUACAACACAGGUCUUCCGACGGCGCGGGCGCAAGUGGCCCGGUGCGGCCGCAUCUUUGCGUGCGUGUAUAGCGUCCUACGGGAGCGGCUGUCGGAGGCGUUGGCCAACGCCGAGGUGCAGCUGCCGCCGACGCUGCGGCUGCAGGCCACGAUCGCGCUCGGCCAGGACGGCGAGGCCGGAGCCAGUGAGGAGCAGCGCCCGCCGCAGCUGGAGCUGUCCACCGCCGACGGCGGCUGGACCCUGAUGCAGAUGCAGUACUUGGUCCUGGCGGCGGAGACGCUGGUGCCCUGGGUGCCGGGCCGGCAGCAGUGAGCGGGCGGGCCUCGGCCUCGGCAGUGGAUGGCUGGGGGGCACGGGACGACCAGGCAGCGGCGGUGGCACUCGGCACGCCUGCUGCAACCGUGUCACGCAGCAUACCUAGCAAUCAAGCGGCCAGCCGUUGAUGCUCACGCUGCCGCUAGCUGGGCUGCGGCGCGCUGUGGCGGCGGCAGCAGCGGCGACCGGGCAGUGGGCGCUGCUCACAGCUUCUUUGGGGUGUACGGCGGUGCUGGCGGCGUGGUCCACGGUCGUGGGCGGUGGUUGGGACCGCAGACACAGCUGGCGCGGUGAUGUAGCGAUGUACACGAGGCGAGGGCUUCUGAGACUGAUCGCUGUGUUGCUUUCCCCGACAGUGCCACGGCACGGCAGGGGCUUUAGGGUGGAGGGUAAGUGUGUGAGGAGAGCGAGGGAGUUCUUUUAUGUGCGGCACGUCUUGAAGGUGUUUGCUCGUGUAGCGGCUUGUGCGAGGGUAAGGCACGUUCGUGUUAGAUACACCGUUGACUUCAAUGUGUCUGACCCAUACUGGCGGGCGUUGUGCCACCAGAGAACCCGGGGCACCACCACAAAGGCCCCGGGAGUGCCGCCAGGAACGCAUACAUCUGUUUGUUCUGGCGCAAUUUGCAAAGACAGUAUGCAGGAUUGACCUUUUAAAUGCCUGGUUUUUACUAUGGCGCUGUGUUUGUAUGUGCAUCCCACCACCCCCUCACUGCAUUACAAACACAGCGCCAUAGUAAAGACCAGGCAAUGAAAAGGUCAAUCCUGCAUGCUGUCUUUGCAAACCAGAGCCAGAGCAAACAGAUGUAUGCGUUCCUGGCGGCGCUUCCGGGGCCUUUGAACACGUACAUCUGUGGACUUGAAUACUUGAUUUAAAUGGUCAAGCCUGCAUUCUGCCUUUGCAAAUUGAGCCUGAGGAACGGAAGCAAACAGAUGUAUGUAUUUUUUUGGUUUUUACUCUGGCGAUGUGUUUGAAAUGCAGUGAGAGGGUGGUGGUGUGGUCAUACUGUCUGCGUGCCCACUUUUUGCACUGCCGGGGUUGGGUAGGCCUGCUGUUUGCUGCACAUGAUGCAAUGGAUGGCGGUGGAGCGCGGCGGCGGCGCACGGCCUGUGCCCAGCAGCGGCGGCGUGCAUGUGCGUAGCAGAGGGGGCAGGCAUGGCCACGUGGAGGAGGAGAGCGGUGCGCUGCCUGAGCAGCGGCGCAGGCGGGCAGGUUGAGAACGCUGGUCUUUGUGGCGAGCAUAGCGUACAUAGCGUAGCGAUUUAUUGCUAUUUGGUUUGUUGCCGGCUGUGCUUGUACUUGGCAGCGGGGUGCGGCUCGACACAUGGCGGGUGGUGCCUGUACGAACCGACCCCGGCUGUGUCCGGGAGAUGAGGUAGUUUCGAAACCUUCGGCCUCGGACAUUGCACCAACGUGGCGUGGCCGCACAGCUCAAUUUUCCCCUGGAGACCUGUCUUGUCCGCACCCGUGGUUGUUGGCUUCCAGGAGUGGCAUGACUCCUUGACGGGUCUACCAAGUGGUGCAGGCUGCUAAGACAGCUUGUGACGGCGUUCUGCCUUUGAGAGAAGUCAGUGUUGUGCUUGAGGGGGCGAUCACUCCCAUUGCAUAGAUGAGAGUAGCUGAGCCGUGCUGGGCAGGCGGGCGAGGGGGAGGGGGAGGGGCGGUGGCGGACUGGAGGUAGGACUGGAGGUAGGGGAGGAGGUAGGGCAGGAGGUAGCGGCGGUAGCGGAGGCAGGAGCACUGGGUGGAGGUGGAGCGCUGGCACUGGCGCAGGCGGGGGCUUUUGAGGGUCAGAUCCAAAGGGGUGCAGGCGACGGCAUUUUGAUUUGCGUGUCGGCACGGCGUGUUUACUUGAAUGCAGUCAGGUGGAGGCAAGGCUUGACGUGUAUUGAGUGAUUCGGUUAUGCGGACAGUCACGCGGAAACGCGGGUGUAGCGCCGAGCUGGGGGACACGAGGCGCCGAGCCGGGGGUGCGGGGCGCCAGUCCAGAGCAGGGGGCUAUCGUCGCGAGGCCCUAGGCAUCGCGGAUGAGACAGGUAAGGCCAGCACGCCACACAUUCCGGUGGAGCGCGGACAUGACUUUGCUUAAUUACCCGCAUUGCUGCGUCGCAAACGCUCUUUCAGUCAGUGCCAACGAUACUGUCCCGCGCGGUUGCGCAAUCUUACGUUCUUUCCUGCGCGAACAAAACGGCAGCCCUUAGGAUACCUAUUAAAUGUGAUUCGUCUCACCACUCGCACAUUUUACCACAGGCCUACAGCUCGUCGCUGGCUGGCCUAUGUUGCUGACGCGGCUGAGUCGACCCGCGGCAUCAGGUAUGCUUCUGCGUGCUUAUACUAUUCACGUCGGCGACAUAGGCCAGCGCCCCGAGCCAGCGACAACCCGCCGAUGGUAAAAUGUGUGCGAGUGGUGAGAUGAAUCACAUUCAUUAGGAUCCUAAGGGCUGCCGUUUCGUUCGCGCAGGAAAGAACGUAAGAACGCGCAACCGCGCGGACAGUAUCGUUGGCACUGACUGAAAAAGCGUCGUAUGCUGACCAGCCGAGGCCCAGGCGUGCCGGGCAUGCGCCCAACUUCGCAUGGGCGGCAUGGCGCCUGCCUUGGUUCACACCGGCGUGGAUGUGGAACGGCGAGCCACGGGCGCGCCUGGCGCGUCGUGGCCGCGUGCCACCUGCCCGAGGGGAGCGCGGGAGCCACCCCGGGAGUCGGGUGAGUCGGCGCCUUUUGCAGCGCCCACUGCUGUGACAUACUUCGCGAGUGCAUGCUCGCAAGUAACAGCACCGAAUGCACCCUGCACGCAGGUCGCCGCCUGCAGCUGCAGCAGGGCAGGUGGGAAGACCCAGGGGACAAACUUUGCAACGCUUCUCAAGAAGGGCGUGUACGGUAGUGCGCGCAGGGGUCAAAUUCGUGAUUUGACUGCCCGAGUAUCGCCGGACAGCUUCGUCUCUCCUGUCCCCAUGACCCACUCGCAUGUCGCUUGCUGCUUUUCACUCGUUGCUCACGUUGAACUUUGCAUGCAGGAUUCAAUGCAGCGGUUCGCGGCGAUGCUCGAUCGGAAGCUGAACCCUAUCAAGACAAGCCUUCAAGAAAUGAAGAAAAGCCUUCACCAGGUUGAAAGCUUUAGCGCAAUACUAGUGGAGGCCGUCGCGGGCAGGGCGCUGCGUGAUCGCGAGCAGCAGAAGCAGGAGGCGGCAAGCGUGGUCCUGAAGGAUGCGGCCAGUGUGGUGAACUGCGUGCUGCCUCCCGGGCUGCCGCCACACGUGCACGAGGUGGCGGCAGGCAAGCUGGCGGCCUGGCUGGUAGAGGAGGUAGGCCGUGACCUCGAGUUGGUGGGCGGGGCGCAGGGCAUCAGUAUGCUGCCUCACCUGUCAGCAGAGCGAGGGUAUUGGCGUGCAUGUGAUGCAUGCCCCAGGGGCAUGUAUGGAUGCCCGAUGGGUGCCUAGACAGGCACAGUCCGUGCUGGCCGUCUCUGCCCUACCGCGCCAUGUAACAGCGCCGCACCCGCCAUGCAGGACCGGGGCCUACGCGCUAUCCUGGAGUCGGAGCUGCGUGCGGUCCCCUCCAGGCUCACCAAAAAAGCAAACGCGCAGUGGAAGGCGGCAGCGGCGAGUGCCGCCCAGGUGUGCUGUUGUGCGAGCAUGUGUGCAUGGAUUCAUCAAAAGCAGUUGGCAAAAGGCCAAACGCCGGGCGUUGCUCCAGCGGCAUAUGGCACUGCCUCUGUAGAUUUCAGCCGCGAGCCAGCCCACGCACGGCAUCCAUGCCGUUGAAGGUCGUGCGUGGUCGUGCAGGGGCGAGUAAACCCCUGAAGCCCCUCCUGCCAUGCUCCGUCUGAUGAUGUCGUGCGCAGGCAGCAUUGGCAAUACUGCAAGGCGCUGCGUGUGAUCAGCAGAACUACUCGCCGGCGCUGGACGCCCUCAAGUGCUGCGCGGACCGCCUGCCUGUCUCCCUGCAGCUGCUGGAAACCUAUGCCACCAGUGACCGGGACACGGCCCUGGCGCUGAUGCGCGGCGAGCUGUGCGUGGCCGCCCUGACGGCGCUGCACCCGCUCAGCAGCGGCGAGGCCUCCUCGACCGCCACACAGCUGCAGGUGGACCGCCUGCUGCCGCUGCGCGUGUGUGCAGAGGCCGGCGGCGGUAAAGGCGGCAGCCACGGUCGCAGCGGCAGCGGCAGUGGGGACGGCGACGGCGACGGCGGCAGCACAUCUGGGCCCCGUGUUGGACCCGGGGUCACGGCCGUGCUGGAGAUCCAGGAGAUCAAGUCCAGCAGCGCAGGUGCGUGGGUGUUGCGAGUGGGCUUGAAGGCAUGGACCGGGCAUGCAUGGGCGGGGCGACCGUAUACAUGGAAAGCGCACGCCCGCCCAACAGCUGGAGCGUUCCUUUGGCCCUAAUCAUGGCGCCGCGUGCACGUGUAGGCGUUUUGUGCUCGUGUUCGCGGUAAUUGCGUGUUGUCUGGGCGGGCAUAUGUCAACUCCAGAAUUGUCCGUCCACUUUCAUGAAAUUUCAGGCGGUUGAGGCUCGGUUAACAUGCUCCCUGGCCCGGUACAACACAGGUCUUCCGACGGCGCGGGCGCAAGUGGCCCGGUGCGGCCGCAUCUUUGCGUGCGUGUAUAGCGUCCUACGGGAGCGGCUGUCGGAGGCGUUGGCCAACGCCGAGGUGCAGCUGCCGCCGACGCUGCGGCUGCAGGCCACGAUCGCGCUCGGCCAGGACGGCGAGGCCGGAGCCAGCGAGGAGCAGCGCCCGCCGCAGCUGGAGCUGUCCACCGCCGACGGCGGCCGGACCCUGAUGCAGAUGCAGUACUUGGUCCUGGCGGCGGAGACGCUGGUGCCCUGGGUGCCGGGCCGGCAGCAGUGAGCGGGCGGGCGUCGGCUCGGCAAUGGAUGGCUGGGGGGCACGGGACUGUAAGGCAGCGGCGCUGCCAACUCGGCACGCCUGCUGCAACCGUGUCACGCGGCGUACCUAGCAAUCAAGCGGCCAGCCGUUGAUGCUCACGCCCCCGCUAGCUGGACGGCGGCGCGCUGUGGCGGCGGCAGCAGCGGCGACCGGGCAGUGGGCGCUG